rnacentral:snRNA from 1 species
AUCGCUUCUUUGCCCUUUGGCUAAGAUCACGAGUAUUAUCUGUUCUUCUCAGUUUAAUAAAGAGCACUGCCUUCUUGGAGCAAGAAGCAGAGAACAAUUACAAAGAAUAUCAUAGCAAGUCAACAAAU